UCACAACAUCCUUAUGAACAGUACCUAACCCGGGUUACUGUUCAUAAAGAUGCUUUUAACUCAACCAAGGUUACUUUGUCCACUGAUCCACUGCCUCCAUCAUUAGCUUCUAAAUUCUCAAUGUAUUCCACCUUCUCCACCGCUCACCUUUUCCGCUGGGUUACUACACAGUUCCGGUUCGUUGCACCCCGCUAUUAUUUGUGUAUUCGAACUUUAAAUUGACUGAUGGUGAUGAAACAGAGGUUGAAGAAGCCACUGGUUUCUCUAUGUUUUCGUAGACACAAAGUCACCGUCCGCCGCCCGCCGGUUGACUUCCGCCUGCCGACUCCCUUCCGUCGGUCUUUACGACCUUCGUUUUGCAGAAAAUCGACUCGACAAUCGACUGGUGUUCGACUUCAUGUAUACUCGACUGUCUAAAAUCGAUCGACGGUCACACCCUUCUCUAAAAUCGAACGACGACGCCCCGUUGAUGCAAUUUCCUUUGUGCCUUACGGUGGAAGAAAGGUACCCGAUACAAGCUGAAAGUAAAAAAAAAAAAAAGGAAGAAAUCUUACGGAAAUUGAACUAUAAGCGUUACGGGUGCAAACGAGCCAAGCUACUCGUGAGCUACUCGGGAUCGGAUCGAUAAAAGCUCGACUCGAAACCGAUUUUAAACGAGCCCGAGCCGAGCUCGGGCUUAAUAUUAAGCUCGUUUAUUAAACUAGCUCGAGCUCGAGCCUAUGUCACUAAGCUCGAUUAGGCUCGCGAGCCUAAACGAGCCUUUAUAUAAAAUAAUUUAUUAUUAUUUUUUAUAUUAAAAUAAAAACAUAUUUCGGGAUUAGGGAUUUAGGGUAUUUGUAAACGAGCUUCUUAACGAGCUCGAGCCGAGCUUAAGCUUAUUUAGGCACGUCAGACAAAAAACGAGCCGAGCCCGAGCCUAAAUCAAGCUUGUAUAAUUAUUUACGAGCUCGAGCCGAGCUCAGUACAAGAAGCUCUAAUCGAGCCGAGCUCGAGCUCGAGCCUCGCAUAACUUAAACGAGCACGAGUCGAGCCUGACUAGGCUCGGGCUCGGCUCGUUUGCACCCCUAAUAAGCGUGCAAAUUAAAGACCUUAGAAAUUGUGACCGCUAAAGUUUGGUGUUGCUGGGAAUUUUGAGUCACUUGGUAUCAGGAUUUAAAGGAGGUGAGCUUCAAAAGAAUCCAAAUGUUAUUGAGAUACUUAAUAGGCAUUUUACUUUCAUUGAGUCUAUUUUUUUUUUAUUAAAAUUGCAUUAUAUGUUUUUGCUAUUUAAUUCACAUCCAACCUAUGCAAAGCAUGGACACCUACACUAGUUUACAUUAAUUAUAUUAUUUUAAAUUUUGUAACACUUGGCUUUUUAUCAUAGAAUAAAAAGUAAAUUAUGUAA